CUGUGGCAGUCCGCGGGGCCGGUGUCUCCAUAAAUGGCCGUUAAAGCUCUGUCUUCUGUGGCUUCCCUGGCCCUGCUGCGGGCUCCUCGGCCGCCUGUGCCGAGUGGCCUGGGAAAUCUUAAAAUUCGGAUUCUCAGAACUUCACACAAAUGAAAAAAAUGUAUCUACCAUUUUUCUGAAAGCUUUCCCUGUUUAAGAAAACUUUUCUGCCAAGUGACUCUUAGGGAGAUGCAUGCUUUUGCAUCUGACAUAUGUGGAACUACUAAAAUAAAAGUUACCAGGAAAGAUGUGCAAAACUGGAAGUUAAUCUGAACGAUGCCAUGUGGAAGGAGGAUUUCAUGGAGGAUUUCUGUGCUCAUGACAUUAAACUUUUUGAAAUUAUGCAUAGAAUUCAAGGUC